CGGCUGGUCUGGAGCGUAGUUAGGACCUUGGGAGCGGAAGAAGAAGAAGAAGUUUGAAGGAAAUCCGUAAUCGGAAAUCGGAAAUCAGAAAUCAGAAAUCAGAAAUGGCGUGGAUGAGGGGUGAGCCAUUGGUGACAAAGCUAGCGGUGUUGGCAAAGUACGUGGUGCUUCCCGGAGCCAUGGUGGCUGCUCUGAUCUACUCUCCGCCUGAUUACGCAUCGUCUUCCGCCUCCUCGAAGAACGAUCAUAAAUUCGACAAAUAGAUCCACCGAGGGAUUUUGCUUCUCGGGACAUCUUGACUGCUUAGGUAUGGAUGCUUCCAAAUGUGGUCUCUAUUGAAGUUUGGUAUGUAAUAAUUUUCGGGAUAUAAUAAUUUCUCGAUUUCAUGCCUAGGCAUUUGGACAGUGAAUGGUUGUAUUUGUUACCUUUAAACAACUUUGAUGAAGAGUAGUUGAUUGUACUAAAUGCACCUUGAAAGCAAAUUAUUUCAGCUUGUGUUGUUGGAUGAUCA